rnacentral:rRNA from 1 species
GACGAACGCUGGCGGCGUGCUUAACACAUGCAAGUCGAACGGAAAGGCCCUGCUUUUGUGGGGUGCUCGAGUGGCGAACGGGUGAGUAACACGUGAGUAACCUGCCCUUGACUUUGGGAUAACUUCAGGAAACUGGGGCUAAUACCGGAUAGGAGCUCCUGCUGCAUGGUGGGGGUUGGAAAGUUUCGGCGGUUGGGGAUGGACUCGCGGCUGAUCAGCUUGUUGGUGGGGUAGUGGCUUACCAAGGCUUUGACGGGUAGCCGGCCUGAGAGGGUGACCGGCCACAUUGGGACUGAGAUACGGCCCAGACUCCUACGGGAGGCAGCAGUGGGGAAUAUUGCACAAUGGGCGGAAGCCUGAUGCAGCAACGCCGCGUGCGGGAUGACGGCCUUCGGGUUGUAAACCGCUUUCGCCUGUGACGAAGCGGGAGUGACGGUAAUGGGUAAAGAAGCACCGGCUAACUACGUG